GCAAGGGUGUGGAAAGAGGCACAGGCGCAUAAAGGUCUGUGCCCGGUGGCGGCCAACACGGGGUGUUCCGUUCUUGCAAUUGGGGACAGCAUGGCCUGCCCGCUGAACCUGUAGGACUGCGGGCCGCGUCGCGUCACAUAAUGGCUAGCAUUUCUAGAGGGCUUAUCCGUCCCAAGCAUUGAAUGAGGAAACCAAGGCCCAGAGAAGUUAAACGACCUGAAGAUCCCAGUUCCUACAGCUGAGAAAGUGGAAAGGAGGGAGAGAGACACAGAGAGAGAAACAUCG